AGCAAUGAAACAAAGUUGGAAGCGUUGUGAUGUGAGUCGGUUUAGAUGAGGUUCAGAUUCAGAUUCUAUGUAGUUGCAGCCAGGCUCCUUCUUGCAUUGUAUGCACAUCUACAUCUACAUCCACAUCCACAUCAACAUCCGGUGGAUAUCAGACAUCUGUGGCGCACACUUCCCCCUCAUAAACAACGCGCCAUGACUAUAAAUACCCACAAUCAUUGACUCUGGCUCGGGCUCCAAGCGGCUUUUAGUUAUGCACUCAAACUCGGACGUGCAGCUGCUCUAUAAUUACCCCAAAACACGGGUGGGGGGAUGUGAAAACGUUCUCUAGAGGGUGACAUUUGAUGUUGGCCUGGGGCGGAAUGGGAGCACCACAGCCAUCGGUGCUGCUCCCGUCUGAAACUUUUGUUUAUGUCUAUUUUCAACACUCCCCAGCAAAAGGAACACCAAGGCCCUAAAAUAAACUCUCCACAUUCUCCCCAAUCUGCAGGCACGCUGGAACUAAGAACCCGCGAUCUCUACCCGGUGCCUAAAAAUAAACACUCCAAAAAGGUUGGAGACAAAAUGGCACGCGCCCUUGCCGCCUCAUGUGUUAGCCAGACAUAUGCCACAGGCUUAUUUUUCCAAGGAGAAGGGAGGAACACAUACCAUGACCUAAUCCGUGUGUGCAUUUACAGCAGCCAUGUGCAGCUGCAGUUGGAGCCUUCAAUAGGCUCAAGUAUUACUCAGCAAAAUAUUUUUUAUGAACACCCAGCACUUGUGGAUUGUAUACUGGGUAUAAUGCUAACGACAAUUAAUUCAAUUAAAAACUACGCAAUAUUAUUGUUCCGCGGGCAGCUGCCUACGGGCAUAUUUACCUGCCACGUAGGGUGCUAUAGUGUAUAUGUACUAUCGAGAACCACACAUCCCCGCCAUAUAUGUAUGAACCAUAAAACGAAGCGACGAACGCAGAAGCAAUUGGUAAGCGCAAGAAUUUCGCUGCUGCCGCAGUGAGUGUUGCUAAAAAUAGCGAGGCGCGUCCUCUUUACAUACAACAACGCCCCGAGUAGCAGCAACGGACACGGGCGUACACCUCUCCGUACCGCCACCGCCCGCAAUGCCCCCUCCCCGUCCAGCCACGGGUGCCAAUGCCAAGUGAGUUCAGUUUCGGGUAUACAAGAGCGGAUGGCAAGUUAAUUCGCCCCUUUGGAGGUGGGUAAACAAGUUGGCCCGUGGCAGCCUCGUCGUUGCGUUCUUACCUUGAUUCGACCAGAUCCAAUUGGG